rfam:Rufibacter tibetensis strain 1351, complete genome.
UGUCCGAUGGUGUAACUGGCAACACGUCUGAUUUUGGUUCAGAAGAGUCCAGGUUCGAAACCUGGUCGGACAA